UAAGCAUGUGGGACAAUCGCUCUUUGAAUCAAGAGAGGAAAGUCCGGACUCCUAAUAGGAAAAGUGCCUUACAAGAUAUGUAAAAAACAUAUUCAAGUAAGGGAGGUUAUAAAACCUACGGAAAGUGCCACAGAAAAAAUACCGCCUAAUUUUUUAGGCAAGGGUGAAAAUGUGCGGUAAGAGCGCACGGAUAUAUAUAGCAAUAUAUGUAUGAGGUAAACCCCGCUUGGAGCAAGACGAAAUAAGCAGGUUAUAAAUUUCCUAUUUUUUAAUUGCCUGCGGGUACGUCGCAAAGAUAGAUGAUUGUCACUUAUUUUUAAGUACAGAAUCCGGCUUAUAAGCAUGCUUAAUAG
rnacentral:RNase_P_RNA from 1 species